rnacentral:rRNA from 1 species
GGAGGAAGUUUUGGUCUUGGACUGUAAGUAAUUGUAAGGGGGUUUUUACAUAGGUUCUGAUGGUAUGAAGAUAAGUUCCAUGAUAAAAUUUAUUGUAGAAGUCUUAGUGAUGAAACUUGGUUAUGUUGCUGUAAGGCUUACCAGAGCCCCUUAGUUAGAAAGUUAAUAUAAGUGCCAGCAGCUGCGGUUAUACUUAUUUAAAGAUUUCGAAGUUAGAAGAAAGUAGGUGAAAGUUUAAGCUAGGUUCCGCUCGGUUAGGUUUAAUUAGUGUGAAAGGUGCUGGUUACAUUGUAUUAAGAGAAGGAGAGGCAAAAAUUAGAUUAGAUACCUAAGUAUUCUUUUUAAAAGUUUAAGGGCUCUAAGCGAUCCUAAAAGACUUGGCGGUUACUCAACCCGGUCAGAGGAACAUGGGUGAGAAGGGAUAUGCCCCCCAUUAAUUCUCCUUAGUUUAAAAGUAGGUGUAUAUCCACGACAGAUUCGUCUUUGAGGAGUUAGGAGGUUUCUGAGGAAGGUUUCAUUAAAGUAGGUCAAUAUGCUGUUUAAUAUUAAGGAACACUUGUGUUACUGAAUUAAUUAUAGAUUGAUAUUUUGGGCAGCUGUGGUUGUUUAAGUUCUGUAAGGAAGAUUAAAAAAGGAUUUGAAAGUAAUGUUUAAUUAGUUAGUAGACAUGAAAUGGUUAUGAGUUUCGUACACAUCGCCCGUCGCCCUUUUGUAGCACAUUAGGUAAGUCGUAACAUGGUAAUUGUUCCGGAAGGAGCAGUUA